rnacentral:misc_RNA from 1 species
GAUGAAGAACGUAGCGAAAUGCGAUAAGUAGUGUGAAUUGCAGAAUUCCGUGAAUCAUCGAAUCUUUGAACGCACAUUGCGCCCCAUGGUAUUCCGUGGGGCAUGCCUGUUCGAGCGUCAUUUACCCCCUCAAGCUCCGCUUGGUGUUGGGCGUCUGUCCCGCUUCGCGCGCGGACUCGCCCCAAAGGUAUUGGCAGCGGUCGUGCCAGCUUCUCGCGCAGCACAUUGCGCUUCUCGAGGCACCGGUGGGCCCGCGUCCAUCAAGCUCACCCCCCCAGUUUGACCUCGGAUCAGGUAGGGAUACCCGCUGAACUUAAGCAUAUCAAUAAGCGGAGGA